rnacentral:rRNA from 1 species
UACGGAGGGUGCAAGCGUUAUCCGGAUUCACUGGGUUUAAAGGGUGCGUAGGUGGGCAGGUAAGUCAGUGGUGAAAUCUCUGGGCUUAACCCGGAAACUGCCGUUGAUACUAUCUGUCUUGAAUAUAGUGGAGGUGAGCGGAAUAUGUCAUGUAGCGGUGAAAUGCUUAGAUAUGACAUAGAACAUCGAUCGCGAAGGCAGCUCGCUACACUAUGAUUGACACUGAGGCACGAAAGCGUGGGGAUCAAACAGG